AUUUACAGGGAUUUGAAGCCUGAAAAUGUUUUACUUCAGAGCAAUGGGCAUGUGUCCCUGACAGAUUUUGAUUUAUCCUGUUUAACAUCUUGCAAACCGCAGCUUUUACUCCCAAGAAUAAACGAAAAGAAAAAACAACAUAAAGGUCAACAGAAUCCAAUCUUCAUGGCUGAACCAAUGAGAGCAUCAAAUUCCUUUGUUGGCACUGAAGAGUACAUAGCUCCGG